GUCUGGGAUGAUGAUUCUCGCUUCGCCGACGCGGCGAAAUGCCGCGCCUUCAUCGCCCGGAGCCUGCUGCUUGAGUGCGAGACUAAGAAUCGGAAGAAAAAUACGCUGAUCCGAGCGGGGUACGGGGGGUGGCUGCUGUACACCGCUGCCGCGGCUGGGGACAUGGGAUUUGUGCAGGAGUUACUUGAUAGAGAACCGCUUCUGGUUUUCGGAGAAGGCGAGUUUGGGGUUACUGAUAUUUUCUAUGCUGCCGCAAGGAGUAAGGAUUGUGGGGUUUUCAGGGUUUUGCUUGAUUCGGCGUUAUCGCCAGCCAAGUCUUUGAUGGGUGGCGCCGGCGGUGGGGGAGGAGAGAUUGAGGAGGAGAGGGGCAGGGAU
rnacentral:misc_RNA from 1 species